GACCUACUCCCUCCGUCUCAUAUUAAGUGACUUUCUAUUACAUGUAUCUAGACGUGGUUUAGGAAUAGAUACAUCCAUAUUUGAUCAGAUUUGAGUCACUUAAUAUGGGACGGAGGGAGUAUAUC
rfam:Brachypodium distachyon strain Bd21 chromosome 1, whole genome shotgun sequence.